AAGGGUAUAGCUCAAGUGGUAGAGCACGUGCUCAGCAUGCAUGAGGUCCCAGGUUCAAUACCCGGUACCUCCU
rnacentral:tRNA from 1 species